rnacentral:rRNA from 1 species
CUCAUGGUUUCACGGUAUUGCAAUGAGAACAAUUUAAAACCCUUAGCGAGAUUCAAGUGGAGGACAAGUCUGGUGCCAGCACCCGCGGUAAUUCCAGCUCCACUAGCGUAUAUUAAAGUUGUUGCAGUUAAAAAGCUCGUAGUUGAACCUCUGUCUGGGGCUAGUUUUGGCUUUGGUCAGGCUAGUUCUAGGCAUCCGCCUACAAGACUUAGAGGGCAUUCAGUUGUUCACUAGGAGGAGUAGGCAUUUUACUUUGAAAAAAUUAGAGUGUUUAAGGCAGGCAAUCGCCCGCAUAUAUUAGCAUGGAAUAAUAGAAUAGGACACUUUUCCAUUUCGUUGGUUAUUGGAAUCGUGCAAUGAUUAAUAGGGACAGUUGUGGGCAUUUGUAUUAAUUGUCAGAGGUGAAAUUCUUGGAUUUAUUAAAGACAAACUAACGCGAAAGCAUUUGCCAAGGAUGUUUUCAUUAAUCAAGAACGAAAGUUAGGGGAUCAAAGACGAUCAGAUACCGUCCUAGUCUUAACUAUAAACUAUUCCGACUCAAUGUUUGACUGGCUUAUAUAACCAGUUGAGCGUUGUAUGAGAAAUCAAGGUCUUUAGGUUCUGGGGGGAGUAUGGUUGCAAAGCUGAAACUUAAAGGAAUUGACGGAAGAGCACAACCAGGAGUGGAUUCUGCGGCUUAAUUUGACUCAACACGGGGAAACUUACCAGGUUAAAACAAUAGUGGGAUUGACAGUUUGAGAGCGCUUUCUUGAUUGGUUGGGUGGUGGUGCAUGGCCGUUCUUAGUUGGUGGAGUGAUUUGUCUGCUUAAUUGCGUUAACGAACGAGACCUUAACCUGCUUACUAGACUGGCGAUCAUCAAUCGUUAGCUCUUCUUAGAGGGACUUUGGUUGUUUUAACUCCAAGGAAGUUUGAGGCAAUAACAGGUCUGUGAUGCCCUUAGAUAUCCUGGGCCGCACGCGUCAUACAAUGACUAGUUCAGAAAGUUUUCUCCUGACCCGAAAGGGGAUGGGUAAUCUUGAUAAUACUAGUCGUGUUAGGGAUCGAUCUUUGCAAUUAUAGAUCUUGAACGAGGAAUUCCUAGUAAGUGCGGUUCAUCAGACCGUACUGAUUACGUCCCUGCUCUUUGUACACACCGCCCGUCGCUUCUACCGAGUGGGUGGUCCGGUGAGAUAAUUGAACUUCGCAGGUAACUGAGAGGAAAGAUUAUCAAACCUAUCCACCU